AAGUCGUAACAAGGUUUCCGUAGGUGAACCUGCGGAAGGAUCAUUAACACUAAUUAAUGAGCAUCCAAAACCUUUUUUUGGAUCAACCCAACCAUUUUGCGAACCAAUUUCCCUUUUUCUUUUAUCUAACCAUUUAAACUCUAUUUCUUUCUUUUGUGUCUGAUCUAUUUACCCCUUGGAGUUUUUGUUUGUUUUUUUCGAAAGAAAAACAACAACAACAACAACAACACUGGGACAAAAUAUCUAACGCAAAUACAACUCUUAACAACGGAUAUCUUGGCUCUC
rnacentral:misc_RNA from 1 species